UAUGUUUAUUUAUGAGACUAGAUGUUAGUUUAAAGAUAGUACUGCUGAAGUCAAUAACAUCUGCUGUCAUGUGCUAGAGGUCAUAAAGUCCAGCUGCUUCAAGCUAUUGGAGUUUGGGGGUAUCAGUGAUAAUAGUUUUGUAUUGCUUUGGGCAGUAUUCAACCAGAAAAAGACUUCUCCAGGGUUUUACCUCCUCCUUUAGGUUUUCUGAGGACAAAAAUCUGUAAAACAAGAAAUAAAAUUGGUCUGGCCUUAACUUCAGUUUGAAAACAAGGGAGCCAACUGAUGAAAUAUCUGCUGUAAAACAUAUUUCUAGCAUAAUUGUAUAUCAUCGAUAUGGUUUCAGGUCUUACAGUGACUCAGAUGAUACAGUGAUGCAGACUCAUGGUUUGCCAUAAUGUAUGUGUAGACAUUUGUUAAGGAGUCCAAUAGUUGUAUGUCAGUUCGUUUCUGUUGCAAAGACACCAAGUAAAAACCAUGAACUCUGUUGAAGAAUUUGAAAUUUUGGUUUUGUUUGAGAGGAUCUGAAGGGUAUUUUGUUUUGUGAUAUGAUUUCUAUAGGUACCAGGGUCAUGCUGAAGUGUACUGUUAGGGGAUCUCUAUUUGGAUGAAAAUUAUAUUUAUCUAAAUUUUGUAAUCUAGUUAACGUUAGUUUUUUGUCUUCUGUUCAACCUGUCAUCUGCUGUUUGUCAUUAUCAUAUAGACAAGUCUUGCUACUUUUACCCUUUUUUAAGUCAUGUGAACACUGGUUACAAUGGCCACUUAGUGCCUUGUACUCAGGUUCUAUUUGUUGUAGUCAACAUGGUUACUAUGUACAUUGUACAUAGAUUAUACCUACAUCCGGUGAACACAAAUUGCCAUGGCUCGUUGCCAUUAUUGCUGUGUACUUUUGAGGUUAUACAUCCAGGUGUGUAUCAAGAUCUCAAAUUCUAAUAUUUAGACCCAAAUCUGCAGCAAAUGUAACAAAGAUUUCUCCAAAUGGAAAUAAAAGCUUCUCAAUUAAUGUUACUAUAUGUAAGUCAAAGCUAAUGUUACACUUUUCUAGAAAGAAACUGUAUUUCAUUGUUAACAGGAAGAAGAAAUGGGAAUAGGUCAAGACUUGGUUACAUAAUAUGGCAUUGAAUGGAAUUUGAGAAUAUAAAGAUAAAUAGCCCUACCUCUGAACUUAUACAAAUAAGAACGUGAAUGAAUCCAGAUUUGGAACAAAAUAUUUCUAUCUCUUCCCAAUUUGCUCGAGAGGGGCACUUAGUUUAUGAUCCUGGAUAAAUCCCUGUCUAAGGUACUGUGAACACCGAUCACCAUGGUACAGUGUAACUACUGAACGGUACUGAACUAGCCCUUCGAUCCUUAUUAUCGAUUUCUGUUUCAAUGGCAUUAAUCCCAUGAAAAAUACUAUGAACUGUGAGGGAUUAUCUGUUCCAGUUCUUGGGACAUAAUAUCAGAAUGAACGGGACACAUUUCAUACAUGUCAAAACCUGAUAUUUUGAAACUUCAUUCUCAAGAAUUAUUUGCGAUUGGAUAUUUGAUAUGCAAUAACAUUGCCUUUUCAACACAUGUUAACAGUUUUGGAGUGGGGUUCUACACUAAUGGAAACCACUUCAGUGUUUGAGGAACAUACUAGAGAGAUUUAGUGCUUCAAGAUGUUACAAAUGUUAGUGUAAUCAAUCUAUUACCAGAUGUUGUGAACCUUGUGAGGGUGGUCAAAUGAUACUCGUCAUUAUUGUGUGUAGAUGUAUACACUUGUCUACUAUUUCCAGCAGCUGCUUGCACUCUGGACAUCUCCAGUUACUGGAACUCCCUGUUCUAUUAUAGAUGUGCCCUGCCUGCUGCAGGUGCUGUAGAUGCCCCAACACCUGCACUGCUUGCACUCUGGACAUCUCCAGUUACUGGAGCUCCCUGUUCUAUAGAUGUGCCCUGUCUGCUGCAGGUGCUGUAGAUCCCCCAACACCUGCACUGCUUGCACUCUGGACAUCUCCACUUACUGGAACUCCCUGUUCUAUAGAUGUGCGUUGUUUGCAGCAAGUGCUGUAGAUGCACCUACAACUGCCCUAAAUCAUGGCCUUUUAACUUCAUUGAUGCUGAAGGUCACUUCCAUAGACAUAAUCAGGGAUUAAUCAGGGAGUCAGGGAUUGAUUCAUUAAAAUGAGAAAAACGUUUUUUCUUUAGUUCUUAUUGAGUCUUUGGCUCUUUAUUAUCCAGAAUGAAAAGUAUGAUAAUGAAACCACAAUGUUACAGGGGCCUGCUGCUGAAAUGAUAUUUCAAACAUGUUGUGAUUUUAGGUUACAGUCACAUCAGACUUACGUGAAAGUUUUGUAGUAUUCUUCCAAUGUUCUGGGCAAAUAGAAGUAGGCAGCAAAUGUUAUUCAAAUGUGGACAAAGGUGGUUAAACCCAAAGAAUAGAUCUGUAAGCAGUCUGAAUUCCCAUUUGGAUCAGAUAUACUAAGUUUCCAGGUAGGGACUGAAUGUGAGUGAUUGCUUGGAGAUGGUGUCACAGAUAGUAUUGAAUGUUAUUGGGUAAUAUUUACAGCUAAAAUGAUAUGAAUGCUAAAAUUGGAACUAGCAGACAUUACCUUAGUGUUUCAGGGACUUUGAAUGAAAUUAGCUGGGACUGCCAUCUUCCCGGGACCAAAUGACCCUUUUGGCAUGUAAGGCCCCCGUUGGUAGGAAGCUUGGUGGAAAUGGUCAGUCUGAUUUGUUGGACAGAUGUCAGAGAUUCUGUAAGCAAUUUCCCCAUGGCAGGUGGAAUUUCUUACAAGAUUUUACUUCUGUCAUUUUGUUAGUGAUCUGGAUAUCAAACAAGGCAUUCAUCAUAUUUUUAUUACAUAUGAGAAGUGGCUGAUAAGUUCUGAGUCCAACUAUGAUGGACAGUAUUGAUGGAGUUGGCAGAUGAUAUUUUAACAUAGUCCCAACAGAGGUCCACACAAUUCUGCCAGCAGUUCAUUCCCCAGAAUGGUCUCAACUGUUUUGUAAGAGGUACUGACUCAAAUGGUCUAUGUGAUGGUGUGACAAUAGAACCAAAGCAAGGAGAGUCAUCUGCUGAAUAUGAUGCCAUGUCUGAAUAGAUAGCUGUUGGAAAUACCUCAUGACAGCAUGGUGUCCCAGUUUGUCCAUUUUCAUCACCACAGAAUACCUGGUCACAUUGAUGCCUUCUAACAUAGUACUUGACACAUGCAAACUGUUAAAGUUGCAACCCAUCAUGGGGAGGCUCAGAACUUUUCAACCACCCUUCUUUAGUUUGGGUAUAGCUAUGAAUCAAAACACCAGCUAAUCAUUAGUUGUUGUCCACUGAAUUUUAACAUUUUAUUUUGCAGUUGUGGGUUAUAUUUGUUGAUGAUUUUCUUCCAUUAUUAUUUAUGUGUAAUUUUACUUGUUUGUUUUCCAUAGCUGUCUAGUUACAUAAUAUUACAGUGUUUCUUAGUCUUUUUUAUGUGCACAGUUUAAUGAUUGAUGUAUGAAACUUAGCACCAAAAGAACCCAAAUUUGUUUUGUUUAUUUGGGGUUAAAUAGAAUAUCUUGUUAUAGAAGGCCUUGAUUUUGACUUGUGGUUAGGCCCUCUUUGUUUUUGGUGUGGUUAUUACAGGUUCUUAUUGGAGGACAAAGCAGACAUUCAAAACCUCGGUUCGAUGACAGUGUAAAACCUGUUAUGAGUAAUUGUCAUUGCUUAGUUGAUAUUUACAGUAGGUUUUAUUAAUGAGCUCAGGGAUCUGCAUUGUCCUUCCAUGUUACUUUGAUAGAAAAUGAUCAUGUUCUGUGAAAUAUUCCACUGGCCAGUAGAAGCAACCCUUUAACAUGUAUUUGGUAGCAGGCACAUAAUUAAGAUGGUGCCAAUCCAACAAUUACAAUAUUUAAGUAUUGUGAACAUCCGCUUCUGUAGGUUUUUGAGUGUAUGACACAAGACUUUGGUAUAAAUUAUGCUGCCCAGUACAUUCUGUCAGGUUCUUAAUGGAAAGAUUUUCAGUUAUUUUGUAUUUCCUCAGGAAGUAUUCAUCCGCUGAAAAGUGACAUUAGUAGCAUGCUUCUGGUCAACCAGUCAAAAUAUCCUGGUAAACAGUAUUCCUUUCAACAAUGUUAAGGAUGUCUGCAGGCAUGUUUGUCUUCAAUAUGCAACUCUGUCUUAUUUCUGGAGACGGUGAGUCAUUUUAGGUAGUGUCUUCAACAUGAUGUAUUUGUCAGCAACACUGACCAGUUGUCAGAAAUAGGGGUUAUAUAUUAAAAAAAGAAGUAACAACAUGUUAUGAAGAAAACAAAUAAGAAUGCAUGAAUGCAUGAUAGUGGUCUUUUAACUAUGGUGAUUGUCAAAUGUUUUAUCGAAUACACACCCGGACUGUCGAAAAGCAGUGGCAAUGCUCAACACUGCUCUGAUAACACCCGGAGUGUCGACUGCCUUGGACCUGCGAAUAGCAGAAAGACUGCGCUAAUCCGCUCUACUCUAAUGAACAAGGGAGAAGACAUGAGCACUAUUGUUGUUGAAAUGAGAAAAGAGUUUGAGUUUGAGUUAACUAUAUAGAUUUGUCACAUUUCCUUCUCAGUGAUACAGAUACAGGCGGAAGUACUGACCUGUUGUUGUUGAAAUGAGAAAAGUUACCUAGAUUUGUAUCUUACAAGUACAAGAAGAACAAGGAAAAGAAUGAUGUCACAUACUGGCGUUUUCAUAGAAAGCCUACUCUUAACCCUAAACCUAACCCUAAACCUUACAUUAAGCUAAAUCUAAACCCUAAACCUAAACCCUAACCCCUAUAAAUAAUCGUAAUAAAUAGAAAACAUUUCAAGCGGGGGUUACGGGCGGAACUCUUACCCAAUAAAGAAUGUACUGUAUGACGUAUUUUGUUUUCCUAAAUGCCUGGAGCGGCGAACACCAUAGUGUUAACGCCUAAUUGCCUCCUUACGCAAUACCGGAAACAUCGAAUUUAUAAAUUUUCAAUUUUCGACAGUCCGGGUGGACAGCGAUAAUACAUUAUAACCUUGUUUUUGUAGCACUAUAUGAAUGUCUAUGCAUGUUAUGAAUUGAGGCAAAUACAUAAUUGCUUGUGUUUUUAUCCAUUUGCUUCAAAAUAAUGUGCACUAGAUUAUCAAAUUGUAAUGUUUCUUAUAUCUGAACAUUUUAGCUGUUAAAGGUUAUAUAUUGAUUUAAUUAUUCUUAAUCAUGUUAAUCAUAGUUUUACUGAAAUGACAGUGAGUUGUUUCUUUAUACUUCUCUAUAGUAGAAUAUGAAUUUGACUCUGUAGUGAAUAACUGCAGCUUGAGUUCCACACUGAUUGCCUUCUGUUUUGAAUUGGAAAGAUUGAGGACAUCUAGAUUUAAGCAUGUCUUUCUCAGAAAAUGUUCAGUACUCUGACAUGAGAUUGUGGACAUCCUUUUCACGAGACUGAGACUUCACAACCUGUAAUAUAGUGGAGGUAUUAUGAUUAUUAUUUUGUUCACUAUAGACCAGAAUAUGACCUCAGACUGUGUGGUUUGUAAAAACUUCUCCCAUUAGUGUUGCUACUAGAGGCCAUCACUGGUGACCUCGGUUGGAACAAGUUAGAGCUGUGAUGAUUUUCCCAAGUAUUAGUUCACUGCAAUACAAGUAUCUUGAACCAGGGAGUGAUACAUACUUAUUUAUAAAGAGAAACUUUGUUUACACCAACCCCAUUAAAUCAGUAGUCUUUAAACAAUGUCACUUUAUGGUCACAAGAGAAAGUCUGUUAACAAUAUUGUCUAACAUCAGAUCUGAUUGUCGAAGACCAAGGUUAAUGUGGAUAGAUGACUUAUGGAUUGCAAGUUCUUCUUAUUCUUACAGUAAGACCUCCAGUCCAGAUGCCAAUACCUUUCAAGCAAGUGAUAAACUUGAACAUAGAGAUGUUUCUGGGUUACACCUUCUUUUUAUUCUUGAAGAUGUAACCCAGAAAAAUCUCUAUGUUCAUCUUCUAAAAUGCCAAUCAAGCAAGUGAUAAAUUUGUCAAUUUUGUUAAUAUAACAUCUGAUAUGCCAUUUAAAGAUGUAAGUAUGGAUUCUUCAGUGUGUUUCUUUUCUGGCCCUGGGAGUGAUUAAAUUGAAUGUUUAGGAUUUAUGUGGUAUGGAAUGAAUUGCAGAAAUACUAUUCUGGAACUUACAUUAGUUUGACGAUCGGAAAUGUUCUGAACAUUCUUUGGUUGGAUCUCUAGUCAUAUGUUCCUUGGAUGGUGAUCUACUGGUCUCAACAUGGCCAUCGUUGAGUUACAUAUGUGAUAUUGUAUAUUGAAAUAUGAAUCAUAUCAUGUCAUUAUAUCCCUAGUCAAGAUCUUGUAACACCCUUCCUCCCAGGUGGGCAUCACUGAGAGCUCUGCAUUUAAACACAAUUCCUCACUGCCCUGUGAAGCUGGAAUCCAAUGAUGUGUGUAAUUCAGACUUUCUGGAUUAACAACACUGAGCAAGGGUCCACUGAGGUCUUGAUUUUGUUUCUUACAUUUGUUUUGUACAUGAUGAAAUGAAGUAUAGUGAUUGUCUUUCUGAUUUCAUUUAAGCAGAUAGGUUUCUUUGGAUGUGGGGUUGACACUAUAGCAUUAUAUAAUGUGUUGUUUGAAAGAAUGUAUCAAAAUAGUAUAAUCAGUACAAGUGUUUGUUUUCAAGUAACUUGUAUGAAGCAAUCUAAUUAGACGAAAUAAAGUUAUUUUUGAAAGAA